ACUCUUUGAUAAAAAGAAAUAUUUAUACGUCUAAAGACAAAGAAAAAGAAAUUAUUGUCGAUUGCCUUGAAAAACAAAUUAAAUUUGAUACCUUAAAAUGCUGCAAUAUUAUCUCUUAUCACACAGGGUAAUUCGUGAAAUCAUACUCAAAACAACCAAUUAUGACAUUUUCAACUGUGGGAAGUAACGAAAUCAACCUCGAAAUGACACGAUCAGAACCAGGGUUUGGUCAAGACGGGUAUCCCAAGUGCAACAAGGACCGGAGACCGCCCCCAACACCCAAACCAUCGGCCACCUUACACCCAUGUCGGAUGAAUUCUGAACAUAUAACAAGAUAAGAGAACUUGAAAUUAAAGAUAUUAUGAUGUGUAUAACCAAACCAACCAACACCCAAACCACCCCAAGUCCAUAGUAGUCCAACAAAGCCUCUACCAAAGUGAAUAUUAAUAAUGUGUCGGGACAUGCCCCCGACUAUAUUCAAAAAUAGUGUUCAAUAGUCUAUAACUCAAGAAAACAUAAUCCUGAAAUAGAGCCAUUCGAAGCAUGGAAGCUCACCACUUCAAGUCGACUCUUGAUCAAUCCACAAUCACUGAGCAGGAGAAGUAGAGGUAUGGCCAAAUCCUGCAUCGCGUGGGGAUAAAGCGUCCAAAGACGGUUAGCAGGGUGAACGCUAGCAUAUAACUUGGGGACAAAGAUAAAAUAAUGCCACAAUCAAUAAUUUCAAAUCAUUCAAAUCCAAUGCACACAAUCAAAUGCAUAUACGUAUACUUAUAACAUGUCGGGACCGAAAACAAGGCUUAACAUGCACUUUAAAAUCUUAACAUGAAUUGUGUAGCUCAACCAUGAUAUCAUAGUACCCACGAGUUAUAUGUGCCCCAGUUCUCACCACGGUCGGGCUCUAGUGCGUGUAGCCGCACAAAUCGAAAAAUAAUCUCAUAUAUAUAUGUGCGGGGGACUCGAACCUCCUAACCAUAUACUAAGGUGACUUAAGCACUCGAUUACAUAAUGAUUUACUCGGGACUCAAACCAAUCAUAAUAAUAACAAUAAGGUGGACUCGAACCACUUGGUCACAAGCAAGGGGACUCGAACCCUCACACCAUAAUGACCCCCGCACCGGCUAGCGUGGUUUUCAAUAUUGAUCACUUGGACCUCCACUUUCACGACUCAGCUACACAACCUUCUUUUAAAGCCCAAUUAAAAACAUUUAUCACAUAUUUUUAUUCAUUGAACCAUAUUUCACAUUAAGACAUAUAUUGUUGGUAUCAUCAUACCAACUACACUUGCAAGGUAAUAACAACAUGCCGAGACAAUUUUCAUUAACUUGGGAAGAACAACUCCCUUUGUUCAUUAAUACAAGGUGGGGGAACCCUGACUCUCUUUGUUUAUUAAAUCAGACCAUUGUGUUUCAAAUACCUCUUUCUAUAAUGCAAUAGUUCAAGACUAGUUCAAUUUUAUAAAUUCCCACAUUUCUCAUAAUUAAAAUCCAAUUUCUCAUUAUGGGGUUGGGGUCAUAAUUACUUCAAAAGUCACAAGCUUGAGAAAACCAUAAUUUCCUAGUUCAUUCACCAUACUCAUGCACCCACAAGUUCAAAACCAUAUUUAAAGCAUGAAAAUUAUAUAUAAACCAUGAGAAACAUUGUUCAAUUUAUAAAUAACUAAAAACCCCAACCGUUGUUUCAAAACCAACAUAAACAUCCCAUGAAUAAUACUUUCAAACACAUGCUUUUACAAAAUUAACAAUGAGGGAAGAGUAACAUGCAUGAAAUAGUAAGAUGUACAGAGAGAAAUCACCCUUGAAAGCCCUAAGUGGUCAACCUCUUAAAAACCCUAAGUGUUCUUGACCUUGAGGAUUUAAGAGUAAUUGAGGAGUUACUUUGAUGUGUUUUUUUGGGCUAAUAAUACCCUAAAGAGGUUAUAAGAUGUGUAUUUCAGUUUGGGUAAGAGGAAAAAUAUCCAGAAUGCCCUUAACUUAAAAGUUACAAAAAGUGCCACCUUUGACUACGAGUCAACCCUUGACUCGUAGCCACUCCUUACGACUCGUUACCACGAGUCGUAACCAAGGUAUUACUACCAAGGCACCCUAACUGUUAUCCUUACAACUUAAUGGCACCACCCGUACUGGGACCCUAGGACUCGUAUGGUCCAGUCAUAGUCAAUACAAAACCCAAAUUAGGACUUACACUGGACACCCUAUGAUUACACCUAAUGACUCGUGACAUAUCCUUAUGGCUUUUAGUGAGCCACUCAUACUCAGAGCAAAAUCAAGACACAAACUUACUGAAUUGGUUAUGACUUAUCCCGACGACAUGUCAAGACACCCUAUGACUCAUAGGGUGAGUCGUUACCAAGGUAGUAAGCUUAAGGCUAAUGAAGUUUUCAAGGGCCAAAAGCCAGGGUAUUUCAAUUCUUCCCCACUUGGAUCGUUUGUUCACGAAUGAUGGGUCAAGGCAAUUGCUAUCAUGAUUUGACUCCACAUACCUCUACUCUUACCUUUAACAAAGACAAAAAACAAAGAUACCAACGAAAUCACACUUUCUUUUAACAAAGUAAAAAAACAAAGAUGCUAAGAAAUACACAUACCUUUAGCACGAUUAUCCUGAGCAAAAAACAAGAAUGGAUACUUGGACUUCAUGUUCUCUUCGGCUUCCCACAUAGCUUCCUCCACCGUUUGGUUCAUCUAUAGAACCUUUACCAAAGCCAUGCCCCUUGUUUGCAGCCGACAAAUAUAUCGAUCCAAGAUUUCAACUGGGACUUCUUCAUAAGAUAAAGAAUCUAAAAUACUUCCCUCAUCCAAAGGAAUAACCGUCAAAGGAUCACUUAUGCUCUUUCUCAACAUCGAAAUGUCAAACACUAGAUGAAUGGAGCUCAAACUAGACGGCAACUCUAAUUCAUAUGCAACAUUACCAACCCUCUUCAACACCAAGUAUAGACCGACAUAAUGGGGACUGAGUUUUCCUUUCUUACCAAACCACAUCACUCCCUUCAUGGGGGACACCUUUAAGAAUACCCAAUCACUAACCUUCUUCGGCUCACAUACGCGUAGGACUUUUGGUGACAUUAGGCAGCUUUACGUCUAUCUCAAAUCACUUUCACCUUCUUAAUGGCUUGGUGAACCAAAUCAGGGCCAAAUAUCUCUACCUCAGCAACCUCGAACCACCCAAUAAGAUAUCUACACCUCCUACCAUAUAACGCCUUAAACAAAGACAUGCUAAUACUAGAGUAGUGGCUAUUAUUAUACGCAAACUCAAUAACAGGAAAAUAAUCAACCCAGCUACCACCACAGUCAAUCACACAAGCUCAAAGCAUAUCUUUCAAUGUAUGAAUAGUUCUUUUUGCUUGCCUAUUCAACAAUGGGUGGAAAGUAGUACUAAGGCUCACCUUAAUUCCCAAACUUCUUUGAAAAGAACACCAAAAGUGUGAUAAGAACUAACUACCAUGAUCUGACAUGCUAGCAAUAGGUGCCCCAUACAACUUCACAAUCUCCUGGAGGAACAACUUUGCAUAGUCUUCUGCCGAAAAGUUAGUUUUCACUGGCAAGAAGUGAGCAAACUUAGUCAUCCUAUCCACGAUGACCUAAAUUGAAUCAAAUUGAUUCAGAGAUCAAGGAAUAUUGUUAAUGAAGUCUAUAUUAAUCACUUCCCAGUUCCAUGCAGGCAAUUCAAUUUCUUAAUACAAACUUUCAAGCCGUAAGUGCUCAACCUUUACUUGUUGAAACACCAUACAUUUAGCCAUAAAACUGGCCAUAUCUCACUUCAUAUUGUUCCACUAAUAAAUCUCCUUAAGAUCAUGAUACAUCUUUAUUAAAACAGGAUGAAUGGCAUAAUGCGACUCAUGAGCCUCAACCAAGAUCCUCUAUUGCAACUAAUCUACAUCGGGAAUACAUAAUCUGCCUUGGUACCUCAAGAUACCAUUUCCACCAAUCUCAAAAGCUACAACCUUUUGUUGUGCCACAUCUCCCUUAAUCUUCAUUAAGACAAGAUCCAGUACCUGCAUCUCCUUUAACAAGGGAUGACUUUGCCACCUCUUGCACUAACAUACCACCAUCCUCAGAGUCCAAGAGACAAACUCUAAGGUUAGCUUAAUAGUGAAUAUCUUUCACCAAAUCUCGCUUAUCCUCAUCCACAUGAUCUAGACUCCCCAUGGAUAACCUACUAAGAGCAUCAACAACCAUAUUAAUUUACCUGGGUGGUAGUGGAGACUCAUGUCGUAGUCUUUUAGUAACUCAAGUCACUUUCUCUCUUUGAGAUUCAACUCCUUCUAGGUGAACACAUAUUCCAGGAUCUUAUGAUCAGAAAAGAUAUCUAUAUGGACUUCAUAUAAAUAGUGAUGCCAAAUAUUCAAUGCAAACACCAUAACUAGUAAUUCCAAAUCAUGGGUUGGAUAAUUCUUCUAAUUAACUUUCAACAAUCUAGAGGCAUAAGCAACUACCUUUCCAUGUUGUAUUAACACAUAGCUAAGUCCUAUACGGGAAAGAUCACAAUAAAUCACAAAUCCAUCAUUGGCCUCGGGUAGGGUCAAAACUGAAUCUAAAAUCAACUUAUCUUUCAACUUCUCGAAACUACCCUCACAUAUCAGACCACAAUAACUUUACCUUUUUCUAGGUCAACUUAGUCAGCGGGGUAUCUAUAGUUGAAAAACUCUCCACAAAUCUCCUAUAGUAACCGGCUAAACCAAGAAGCUUUGAAUAUCAGUUGGAGCAUGGGCCUAGGCCACUUUUUAAUACUGCACCUUUCUGCGGAUCCACCAUGAUUCCUUCAUUAAAAAUGACAUGACCCAUAAAAGUAACAACUCUCAACCAGGACUCACACUUUAAAAACCUAACAUACAAAUAUUGAUCCUUCAAGGUUUGCAACACGAUACAAAGAUGAUCGACAUGAUCCGCCUCACUCUUAGAAUACACCAGAAUAUCAUUUAUAAACACAAUAAUAGAUAAACCUAGAAAUUGAUGGAAGACCCUAUUUAUCAAGUCCAUGAAUAUCGUCGGGGAAUUAGUUAAACCAAAGAACAUGACUAUAAACUAAUAAUGACCAUACUGGAUUCAAAUGGCAGUUUUAGGGAUAUCCACCUCCAUAAUCUUUAGCUGAUGAUAACCAAACCUAAGAUCAAUCUUAGAGAAACAUCAAGCAACCUUAAGCUGGUAAAAAAAUCAUCAAUCCAAGGAAGAGGAUACUUAUUCUUCACCAUAACCCUAUUUAAUUGAAGGUAAUCGAUGCACGUCUGAAGGGAAUCAUCCUUCUUACGUACGAACAAAAUAAGAGCACCCCACGAAGACACAUUAGGAUGGAUAAAACCCUUGUCAAGAAGGUCUUUCAAUUGCUCCUUCAACUCAGUCGGAGCUAUUCUAUAAGGAGGGAUAGAGAUAAAAUGAGUGUCCAAAACAAGGUUAAUCCCAAAUCAAUCUCCCUAUCAAGAAGGACACCAGGAAGAUCAUCGGAAAAAAUCUCGGGGAAAUCAUUAACCAUAGGAAUGGAUUGUAAGAAAGGACCCUCCGAGUUAGAAUCUUUAACCCAGACCAAAUGAUAAAGACAUCCCUUGGGAAUCAACUUUUGGGCUCUAAGAUAUGAUAUGAAUCUCUCCUUAGGCAUGAGAGAACCCUCUUCCCACUUAAUGACUGGCUCAUUAGAGAAUUUAAACAUAACCUUAUGGGUUCAACAAUCAAAGAAGGCAUAGAAUGAGUGUAACCAGUCCAUCCCCAAUAUGAUAUAAAAAUAAACCAUGUCUAACUCUAUCAGAUAUACCAGAGUUUCUCUGCCACUAUCAGAUACCACAUAACCCCUAUAGAUUCUUCUAGCAACCACAGAGUCACCUACUAGGGUAGAAAUAAAAAGGGAUCAGGGAUACACUCGGGACUAAAACCAAAAUAUAUAGCCAUAAAUGGGGUCACAUAACAAAGAGUAGACCCCGGAUCAAUCAAGAAAUACAUUUCAUGAGAAAAGAGUCGUAACAUACUAGUGACGUCAUUGGGAGAUACCUCAGAGUCCUGGCGGGUAGCAAGGGCAUACAAGUGAUUUCGUCUAGUACCGGUAAUAAAAACAAAAGCAACACCCUUUGGUGCAGGAGCUGGUAAAGUGGCAACAUGAAUCUUAUUUGCCACAAAAGCAACCUUAGAAGGGCAAUUCCAAUGCAAAUAACUAAUCUGACCAUAUUUA
rnacentral:lncRNA from 1 species